AGCGAACGCUGGCGGCAGGCUUAACACAUGCAAGUCGAACGCAUCCUUCGGGAUGAGUGGCAGACGGGUGAGUAACACGUGGGAACGUGCCCUUCGGUUCGGAAUAACUCUGGGAAACUAGAGCUAAUACCGGAUACGCCCUUUUGGGGAAAGGUUUACUGCCGAAGGAUCGGCCCGCGUCUGAUUAGCUAGUUGGUGGGGUAAUGGCCUACCAAGGCGACGAUCAGUAGCUGGUCUGAGAGGAUGAUCAGCCACACUGGGACUGAGACACGGCCCAGACUCCUACGGGAGGCAGCAGUGGGGAAUAUUGGACAAUGGGCGCAAGCCUGAUCCAGCCAUGCCGCGUGAGUGAUGAAGGCCUUAGGGUUGUAAAGCUCUUUUGUCCGGGACGAUAAUGACGGUACCGGAAGAAUAAGCCCCGGCUAACUUCGUGCCAGCCGCCGCAGUAACAC
rnacentral:rRNA from 1 species